GACGAACGCUGGCGGCGUGCCUAAUACAUGCAAGUCGAACGCUUCUUUCCUCCCGAGUGCUUGCACUCAAUUGGAAAGAGGAGUGGCGGACGGGUGAGUAACACGUGGGUAACCUACCCAUCAGAGGGGGAUAACACUUGGAAACAGGUGCUAAUACCGCAUAACAGUUUAUGCCGCAUGGCAUAAGAGUGCAAGGCGCUUUCGGGUGUCGCUGAUGGAUGGACCCGCGGUGCAUUAGCUAGUUGGUGAGGUAACGGCUCACCAAGGCCACGAUGCAUAGCCGACCCGAGAGGGUGAUCGGCCACACUGGGACUGAGACACGGCCCAGACUCCUACGGGAGGCAGCAGUAGGGAAUCUUCGGCAAUGGACGAAAGUCUGACCGAGCAACGCCGCGUGAGUGAAGAAGGUUUUCGGAUCGUAAAACUCUGUUGUUAGAGAAGAACAAGGACGUUAGUAACUGAACGUCCCCUGACGGUAUCUAACCAGAAAGCCACGGCUAACUACGUG
rnacentral:rRNA from 1 species